AGAAAUACGUGGCAAACGGCUCAGUAACACGUAGUCAACAUGCCCAGGGGACGUGGAUAACCUCGGGAAACUGAGGAUAAACCGCGAUAGGCCAUGAUUUCUGGAAUGGUUCAUGGCCGAAAUCUAUAUGGCCCCUGGAUUGGACUGCGGCCGAUCAGGCUGUUGGUGAGGUAAUGGCCCACCAAACCUGUAACCGGUACGGGCUCUGAGAGGAGGAGCCCGGAGAUGGGCACUGAGACAAGGGCCCAGGCCCUAUGGGGCGCAGCAGGCGCGAAAUCUCUGCAAUAGGCGAAAGCUUGACAGGGUUACUCUGAGUGAUUCCCGCUAAGGGGAUCUUUUGGCACCUUUAAAAAUGGUGCAGAAUAAGGGGUGGGCAAGUCUGGUGUCAGCCGCCGCGGUAAUACCAGCACCCCGAGUGGUCGGGACGAUUAUUGGGCCUAAAGCAUCCGUAGCCGGUACUGCAAGUCUUCCGUUAAAUCCACCUGCUUAACAGUUGGGCUGCGGGGGAUACUACAGCGCUAGGAGGCGGGAGAGGCAAGCGGUACUCAAUGGGUAGGGGUAAAAUCCGCUGAUCCAUUGAAGACCACCAGUGGCGAAGGCGGCUUGCCAGAACGCGCUCGACGGUGAGGGAUGAAAGCUGGGGGAGCAAACCGGAUUAGAUACCCGGGUAGUCCCAGCUGUAAACGAUGCAGACUCGGUGAUGGGCUGGCCUUGUGCCAACCCAGUGCCGCAGGGAAGCCGUUAAGUCUGCCGCCUGGGG
rnacentral:rRNA from 1 species